rnacentral:rRNA from 1 species
CGGGACGGGUGAGUAAUGUCUGGGAAACUGCCCGAUGGAGGGGGAUAACUACUGGAAACGGUAGCUAAUACCGCAUAACGUCGCAAGACCAAAGAGGGGGACCUUCGGGCCUCCUGCCAUCGGAUGUGCCCAGAUGGGAUUAGCUAGUAGGUGGGGUAACGGCUCACCUAGGCGACGAUCCCUAGCUGGUCUGAGAGGAUGAUCAGCCACACUGGGACUGAGACACGGUCCAG